rnacentral:misc_RNA from 1 species
GAUGAAGAACGUAGCGAAAUGCGAUAAGUAAUGCGAAUUGCAGAAUUCAGCGAGUCAUCGAAUCUUUGAACGCACAUUGCGCCCUCUGGUAUUCCGGGGGGCAUGCCUGUUCGAGCGUCAUUACAACCCUCAAGCUUUGCUUGGUAUUGGACAUUGCCAGUUUCUGGCAGGUCUUAAAAUCAGUGGCGGUGCCAUUUGGCUUCAAGCGUAGUAAUUCUUCUCGCUUUGGAGAUCCAGGUGGUUACUUGCCAAUAACCCCCAAUUUUUUCAGGUUGACCUCGGAUCAGGUAGGGAUACCCGCUGAACUUAAGCAUAUCAAUAAGCGGAGGA